GAUUAACGAAGGUCUUACGGGUGUGGAAUGGCAUGAGGACCCCUUGUGUGCUCUGUGUGAUUCAGGAAACUGUAAUAUCUUACCCGCAAAGCUCUGUUCAUUAGACGGUCUGCAAGAAAAAGAAGACUUUCCACCACUGAUGGCAGAAAUUCAUGACUGAACACUUCCAUGUGUCUGAAAUCACCCAGACCCACACAGCAUGUGCUGGACGGACAAAAACAUGCAUUAAAACUCCACGAGACUGCGAAUAAAAGCAUUAUUCACUGUGUAUUUAAAAGCAACUUGAAUUUGAGUACCUGAGGAGGUCUGCCAUCUGUGUCAGGACUGCAUAGCCCCCUUGAAUCUUGACUGGACUGAAUCUCAGUGAAGAUGAGCAGUACUGCAGCACACCAUGAGAGUAGAGACUCUGUUUACACGCCUCCAGAUCCCUCUGAUCUCCUAAAGACUUUCUGCCUAGAAGAUCUGUUCAAGUGAAAGCUGUUUAAGCUCAUUCAUACAUGGUUGUGUUCUAGGAUAGAUGGCAUGUAACAUUUUUAUAGUAAGUGUAGAAUUAUUAUACAUGCCGAUUUAUGAGCUCACAUUUACUGAAAGGUAAUGCUGCUAUCGUAAAUACUAGUUUCUUAGGUUAAAGAUUGGACAUGAACGCCCUCUCAAGUCAAAAUCUGAAUGCAAAGAGUUCGCAAUCACGACUUCAGAAGUGGGAAAUAUAGCACGUGAAGGCAGCGUUAUAUUUGGUAAUUUUUAAAGAGUAUUUGUCACUCCGCAUGGCUAUUUGGUUGAGCUGCAAAAAACUAAACGGUGACGAUUUAUACCGUUAAAUAAACGAAAUUCUACAAUGACAAACGUAAGAAAGGACAGGACUUUACCUUUUAAUGCUGAAAGCACGUCGUUAAACUUGUUUUCAGAUUUUUCUCUGGUGAUUGCGACCAGAUUCUUUAGUUCUGGGUUUAUUUCGUCUCCUGAUUGAACCAUUGCACUCAUCGUCUCAGAAAAAAACGUUAUAGAUUUUACAUAUAA